UGCGUAGGUGGUGAGGUAAGUCGGAUGUGAAAUCUCCGAGCUCAACUCGGAAAUGGCAUUGGAAACUACCUUGCUCGAGGGUUGGAGGGGGGACUGGAAUGCUUGGUGUAGCAGUGAAAUGCGUAGAUAUCGAGAGGAACACCAGUGGCGAAGGCGAGUCCCUGGACAGGUCCUGACGCUGAGGCACGAAAGCUAGGGGAGCAAACA
rnacentral:rRNA from 1 species